CCUACGGGAGGCUGCAGUGGGGGAUAUUGCACAAUGGGGGGAACCCUGAUGCAGCGAAGCCGCGUGGGGGAAGAAGGGCCACGGCGUGGAAAGCCCUGUCAGCAGGGAAGAAAAUGACGGUACCUGAAGAAGAAGCCCCGGCUAACUACGUGCCAGCAGCGCCGGGAAUACGUAGGGGGCAAGCGUUAUCCGGAUUUACUGGGUGUAAAGGGGGCGCAGACGGCGUUGCAAGACAGGAGUGAAAGCCCGGGGCCCAACCCCGGGACUGCUCUUGAAACUGCGAGGCUGGAGUGGAGGAGAGGCAGGCGGAAUUCGUGGUGUAGCGGUGAAAUGCGUAGAUAUCAGGAGGAACACCGGUGGCGAAGGCGGCCUGCUGGACUGCAACUGACGUUGAGGCCCGAAAGCGUGGGUAGCAAACAGGAUUAGAUACCCCUGUAGUC
rnacentral:rRNA from 1 species